rnacentral:lncRNA from 1 species
GUCACCAACCUAAAUCCAAGUAUGUCCAUAAUCUGAACCAUCAUUAGGAGCAUACACUUUUGCAGGUUGAAAUUCCACUGGCAAGAUCAAACAUGCAGAGCACAAGCACACACCACACACACAAGAUGCCCGCACGCCACAAGCACACACACAUACCACACACCACAUAACACACACACUUACGGAAGUUCUUUUCUUUGGAAUCAGCAAGUACUCCUAACAAAGUUAGGAUAGCAUCCAAAUAUAAAUAACUUAUCUUACUCCCCCUGAUUCAUAAUAUAAGCAGUUUUCGAAUUUGUGUUAGUCAAACAUUUUUAGGUUUGACCAUCGAUAUAGAAAGAAUUACCAGCUUAGACAAUAUGAAACUGACAUGACUAGUGUCAUAAUUAUAUUAAGAAUUUGUCUGAAACAACAUUUUUUUUGAAAAAAUUAUGAUCAAAGUGUUACUUUGAAAACCAUGUAAAUGCUCUAGGCUACUUAUAUUGUGAAUCACAGGCAGUACACAAAAACAUGAUCAUUGUCAGCCUGUCAUUCACUUUGUGCCGUCAUGUCAAUGCAGGUCGUAACUCAUGUAACUUUGAAGUAGUGCCCUGAUAUAACGGUGGGUGAAGCACUAGAAGACACAUUUCUUCUACUGAUCCUUCAAAUCAGAUAAAGAAAAGGGAAAAAAUGUUCACAUUGUUCGCCUUUGUGGAGGGGAUGUCAUUACUCGAAUCAGGAGGGCAAUGCCUAAUAUUGAUCCAUACUUCAGAAUGUUUCAACUCUGUGUCUCAUCUAUAAUCAGACUAUUUUCAAUUUUAGUCAUCUACCCGGUUUUGUAUCAAUACAAGUUGAGCACGUUUUCUAUGGUGCGUAAAGGGGUAGAGACCCAAACAGCUAGG